UAGCCCUCAGGUUUGCCGGAAGAUUGGCCUGCGAUGUCACAACAGACAUGGUCUGUAAAGGCAUCGACCAUUCAAGUGCUGAUAUGACAAAACAGACUCUUCUCAAAAUCCAACACAAUCUUAAACAUGAGCUGACUGAUUCCUCAACCUUCAGUUUGCUGACACACACCUUUGGCCCCGCUGCACUGGAUUCUGUCAUUUCAUUCCUGUGUGAAAAACUUGAUCUUGUCUCUUAAAUAAUGAAACCUUUUGUGACUUUUGUUUGUUCUGUAAAUCAGAAUCUUGAAAAUUGUUCAUUGUUGUUCUAAGUUUGUGUUAACUAUUUGGCAAAAAUGAUUGGUUCCUAAUCCAAACAGCAUAAUGACUGUUCUAACACAUAUCUUAAAAAUGCUACAAAGAAAGAAAAUUAUCACAUAUGUUUCAAUAUGAAUGUAAUUGUGUCACACUCGGUUUGUAGUAGCUUUCCUGUUUUAUUUUGAGUUUUGGUAUGUUUACACUGUUAUUUUUAUUUCCCGUGUGUUUGUCUUCCCUUAUUAGUUUUACUGUAUUUAAUUAGUCUGAUUUAAUAACUUAUAAUUAUUUACUUUCCAGUGUGUAUAUAUGCUCCUCGUUUGGAUUAUUGUUUGUUUGAGUUCUGCCUGUCUUUUCUAUUAAAGAUUUGGACUUUUGGACUAUUA